rnacentral:rRNA from 1 species
GAUGAACGCUAGCGGGAGGCCUAACACAUGCAAGCCGAGCGGUAGAGUUCCUUCGGGAACUUGAGAGCGGCGUACGGGUGAGGAACACGUGUGCAACCUGCCUUUAUCUGGGAGAUAGCCCUCCGAAAGGGGGAUUAAUAUUCCAUAAUAUAUCAGUUGGCAUCAAUUGAUAUUGAAAGCUCCGGCGGAUAGAGAUGGGCACGCGCAAGAUUAGAUAGUUGGUGAGGUAACGGCUCACCAAGUCUACGAUCUUUAGGGGGCCUGAGAGGGUGAUCCCCCACACUGGUACUGAGACACGGACCAGACUCCUACGGGAGGCAGCAGUGAGGAAUAUUGGACAAUGGGUGCAAGCCUGAUCCAGCCAUCCCGCGUGAAGGAUUAAGGUCCUAUGGAUUGUAAACUUCUUUUAUACAGGGAUAAACCUACUUACGUGUAAGUAGCUGAAGGUACUGUAUGAAUAAGCACCGGCUAACUCCGUGCCAGCAGCCGCAGUAAAAC